AUACGGAGGGUGCGAGCGUUGUUCGGAAUUAUUGGGCGUAAAGCGCGUGUAGGCGGUUGGUUAAGUCUGAUGUGAAAGCCCUGGGCUCAACCCGGGAAGUGCAUUGGAAACUGGCUAACUUGAGUACGGGAGAGGGUAGUGGAAUUUCGAGUGUAGGGGUAAAAUCCUGUAAUCCUAGAAGGACCACCGGUGGCGAAGGCGUCUCACUAGAACGAAUCCGACGGUGAGGGACGAAGCCCUGGGGCGC
rnacentral:rRNA from 1 species